CCCAUGGCUCAGAUUGAACGCUGGCGGCAGGCCUAACACAUGCAAGUCGAGCGGAUGACAGGAGCUUGCUCCUGAAUUCAGCGGCGGACGGGUGAGUAAUGCCUAGGAAUCUGCCUGGUAGUGGGGGACAACGUUUCGAAAGGAACGCUAAUACCGCAUACGUCCUACGGGAGAAAGCAGGGGACCUUCGGGCCUUGCGCUAUCAGAUGAGCCUAGGUCGGAUUAGCUAGUUGGUGAGGUAAUGGCUCACCAAGGCGACGAUCCGUAACUGGUCUGAGAGGAUGAUCAGUCACACUGGAACUGAGACACGGUCCAGACUCCUACGGGAGGCAGCAGUGGGGAAUAUUGGACAAUGGGCGAAAGCCUGAUCCAGCCAUGCCGCGUGUGUGAAGAAGGUCUUCGGAUUGUAAAGCACUUUAAGUUGGGAGGAAGGGCAUUAACCUAAUACGUUAGUGUUUUGACGUUACCGACAGAAUAAGCACCGG
rnacentral:rRNA from 1 species